rnacentral:lncRNA from 1 species
AAUUUGGUCUUAAUCAGGCUGAGCUAAGCCAGUCUGUAUUUGAGGAGUUGGAAGCAGAUGAUUCGGGCACAAAUUUGAAGGCUGAUAAACGGCAGCCGUCGCCCAUGCAGUCAGAGCAGCCAGGAGUCCUGAUCCUGGGGAAGGAGGAAGGAGGCAAGGGCAGUGAGCGUGUCGCCUCGCCCUCGGGGUGUGCUGUUUCUGCUCAGCCUCCCCUUGCAGCCUUGUUUCAAGUGUGGGAAUGGCCUCCUGACUCCCAAUCCGAAACAACUGCUGAGCACAGAAGGCAGAGCAGGGCCCUGAGAGUCAGAGGAAAAUGCUGCAGCGGGGACUGGGGAGCCCAACCGGGUGACUCCCCAGAGAUGCGAGCAGGUGCAGAGGCUGGAACAACAGUGCUGCAGGGAAGUCUCCCGUGGACGCUGUGGCCUGGGGCUUGGGUGACAACGUGCACGGCUGCCUCCUCGCUGUCACAUGUUCUGCUGGCUUGUUU